CAGUCGUGCCGGCGCGAAAUCAGCCUGACCGUAGGAGAUCACAGGCUGUGGCGAGCCUCAAAACCGCCACAACUUGUGCUCCCCUGUCGGCCUCGUGCACUUUCGUGUCGGCUGGUUAACAUCAAUUUCGAUCGUCAUAAAAAGGCUAGGAGGGAUGUGGCUCCUUCGGGAGUGUUAUAACC
rnacentral:rRNA from 1 species